ACCGCUGUUCACCACUAGAGGGAGCCCUAGCAAGGGGACAAGCCUGGACAUGCGCAGUAAGUCGUUUAUAUCCAGACAAGGCUGGAUGUCGGCGCCAUCUUUGUUUCGCCGCGCAGCUCUCUACAAGACUUAAAAUAAAAUAAAUCUAAUACAGUGUCUUGCAAGGUAAACAUGCUUGCUGUGAAAGCCUGGAAACCCUGUCUAAUUCCUGGAAUGAAAAAUAAAAAAUAAGGAAAAAAUUGAUUCCAUAUGAUUAUCCUCUGAGCUACACAUAUGCACUGCUAGCACUCACAUUCACUCUGGCUAAGUAAAUAGAUAAAAUUUAAAAUGUAUUAAAAAUGCCCCAAACUUUAAAGGUUAUUUAGUUCCACAGGUCCAUAUUUACUGCUAUAGAUGAACUGCUAUGAGGAGUUUUCACAUUGAUUUUAAGUUAUUAAUGAUUAAACAUUUUUAGCCUAUAUUCCAACAAACUAAAUAAUUAUAUUUGUACUCAUUAUAUGUAAAAUUAUUUUCUAAAACUGUAUCUCUGUCAUUAAUUAUUUUUUCCAUCAUUCAUUUCGUAAUGAAAACCAAUUCUUCCAAUGUAC
rnacentral:lncRNA from 1 species